rnacentral:rRNA from 1 species
UACCAGACUCCUACGGGAGGCAGCAGUGGGGGAUAUUGCACAAUGGGGGGAACCCUGAUGCAGCGACGCCGCGUGGGUGAAGAAGCGCCUCGGCGCGUAAAGCCCUGUCAGCAGGGAAGAAAAUGACGGUACCUGACUAAGAAGCCCCGGCUAACUACGUGCCAGCAGCCGCGGUAAUACGUAGGGGGCAAGCGUUAUCCGGAUUUACUGGGUGUAAAGGGAGCGUAGACGGCAGUGCAAGUCUGAAGUGAAAGGCGGGGGCCCAACCCCCGGACUGCUUUGGAAACUGUGCUGCUGGAGUGCAGGAGAGGCAAGUGGAAUUCCUAGUGUAGCGGUGAAAUGCGUAGAUAUUAGGAGGAACACCGGCGGCGAAGGCGGCCUGCUGGACCGUGACUGACGUUGAGGCUCGAGAGCGUGGGGAGCAAACAGGAUUAGAUACCCUUGUA